UAUAGGCUAAUCCAACGUCAAAACCUUCUCCUACGGAUGGCUCAAUUCUAAAAUCUGCAAAGUGUGGCAACAGGCAAUAUUACGUUUCAACAGCUAAAGUGACGAGAAAUGAAGCAGGACUGCGGUGCAAAGCGAUGGACAUGUCCCUCCUGACCGUUCCUUCUGUCGAGGAGCUGACCUGUCUCAGCAGUUUGCAAGCCGGGACAUUUUGGACGAGUGGCUCGAAGGGAAAUCCAAGCUGUGACGGGAGUUUCGGCUGGUGUUCAACGGGGUUCAAAGUCUCGGAAACCCUUCUUUCAACGCC